rnacentral:misc_RNA from 1 species
CCGGAAUAAAACACGAUCAAUAGGCAUCAUAUCAGAAAUCUCAAGAGUCACAAUAUCUCCCUUCAAUUUUAAGUAUCGCGCAACGUAGCAACCAAAAAAAUCAAACUGAUAAAUCUAGUCACACAAAUUAAUUUUUACAGUAGCAUAUCUUACCCCUUCUUGUCUUCAACCAUUCCAACUUCUUAUUAGCAUAUAUCUCCUGAAAUCUUUGCUACAACAAGUGGUGGGGAGGACAAAAAAAUUUAGAAAUUCUACGAACUUAAUGCUAAUGCGGAACCUGGAAAGAUCUAGCAAGUAGGCACUGCUUGCUACCAAAGAAAUCUUGUAACUACUUAGCCCCCCGGGACAAUUCCUCUUCAACUAAAAGACCAACUAUGCAUGUCAAUGUAGUUGGUCCCAUCGAUCAUUGUUAACUUCAAGACAUCAAGUAUAUGCUCAUUGCUUCAACAUCAAAAUGGUUAAAUGUAGCAUCAACGCAAAUUGCCUCUACUCACUGGAAGAAAUACAACGUUCUCCGUGUCUACUCUACAAACUCCUGUAAUCUAUUACGGUAACUUCAUCUUCAGGCGCAUCGAGAUCUUGAUAGCUUCGCAAGCGACGAGGAUCCUGUCGAAAUCCGGGAGGUAAAGCAAUUAUCGGGCCUGCAGGCCCAGACCUCCCAUUUCUACCGCCUUCAAAUGGAGUAGGGCCUCCUUGUUCUCGCAUCAUUCGCAUUGCAACUUCAGGAGGCGCAGGAACAAAUGGACCAAGA